GCAGGUACAGCGGGAAGCCAGGCGGCGACGCCGAGCGGAACCCGAAAACCUGUCUCAGUUCGGAUCGGAGUCUGCAACCCGACUCCGUGAAGCUGGAUUCGCUAGUAAUCGCGCAUCAGCCAUGGCGCGGUGAAUACGUUCCCGGGCCUUGUACACACCGCCCGUCAAGCCAUGGAAGCCGGGGGUGCCUGAAGUGUGCAGCCGCAAGGAGCGCCCUAAGGUAAAACCGGUGACUGGGGCUAAGUCGUAACAAGGUACC
rnacentral:rRNA from 1 species